UGCACAGCAGAGGGUGGCCAUGCGGAAAGAGUCAUGCUACUAGAGAGGAACACUCGGUGGAGCUUCACCUGUCACCGACUCUACACCCACACUGAAAUCUGACUUUUCAAGGAUCACGGGGCAGUUGCUAGGAAACGAAACUGAAGCUCAGUCCUUUGGGCUGGAAUCGUGGCUGCGUCUCUUUCUCAGCAUCUGUGAGAAUCUGGGAUUAGUCUCACUAAACUAACAGCUGGAGGAAAUGGUGAGCAGAUGUGUUGGAGGCAUGUCCAUGCUUGACUCAGAUGGAAGCAAGAUCAUUUCUACUCGCUAGCACUGCCCUUUUACAGAGGAAAA